rnacentral:lncRNA from 1 species
UAUGGUGGUAGCAAGUGACAACUUAUGUACAUUGGUAAGCAGUGAAAAAAAAAACCCAGUUCAGCUCCACAUGGUGGUAGGCAGAGAGAAGGCAUUGCAGUUAUAUAUGGUGGUAGCAAGUGACAAGUAAUGUAGAAAUGUUAUCAAAUGCAUUAUGAAAUCUGGACCUUAAAACCUUAUUCUUCUACUGAAAAGUUCUUUCUUUGUGUGCAGUGGGGGCUUCGCAUGAGGAUAGAUACUUUUUUUGUAGUUUGGCUAAAGAAGUGUAAAGCAAUACAUUGUUGUACACCUCUAAACUGUUCCGGAUUGAAUUUUGUGUUUGGCACCAGUCUGCAUUCCUACACCAGUGAGACGAUGUUUCAGUUAUACAUGGUGGUAGCAAGUGACAAGAUAUUUCAGUUAUGCACAUGGGUAACAAGUGAAAAUGUAUCAUAGGUAUAUGCUUGAUGCUAACCUGUGCAAAUAUAUUUCAGUUAUGUAUGGUGGUAACCAUCGAAAAGAUAUUUCAGCUACAUAUGGUGGUAUCCAGGGAGAAGAAAGAAGGUCCAGUUACAUAUGGUGGUAAAGAGUGAAAAGACAAUUCAAGUAUGUAUGGUGGUAAUGGUAACCAGUGGAAAGGUGUUUUAUUUAUCUAUGGUAGUAGCAAGUGACAAUGUAUUUCAGUUAUGUACACGGAGAACUAGUGAAAAGAUUGUUCAGCUAUAUAUGGUGGUAAGCAGAGAGAAGAUGCUGCAGUUAUGUAUGGUGGUAGCAAGUGACAAAUUGUGUACAUGGGUGAGCAAUGAAGAAGACAGUUCAGCUACAUAUGGUGGUAAGCAGAGAGAAGGCAUUGCAGUUAUAUAUGGUGGUAGCAAGUGACAACUUAUGUACAUUGGUAAGCAGUGAAAAAAAAAACCCAGUUCAGCUCCACAUGGUGGUAGGCAGAGAGAAGGCAUUGCAGUUAUAUAUGGUGGUAGCAAGUGACAAGUAAUGUAGAAAUGUUAUCAAAUGCAUUAUGAAAUCUGGACCUUAAAACCUUAUUCUUCUACUGAAAAGUUCUUUCUUUGUGUGCAGUGGGGGCUUCGCAUGAGGAUAGAUACUUUUUUUGUAGUUUGGCUAAAGAAGUGUAAAGCAAUACAUUGUUGUACACCUCUAAACUGUUCCGGAUUGAAUUUUGUGUUUGGCACCAGUCUGCAUUCCUACACCAGUGAGACGAUGUUUCAGUUAUACAUGGUGGUAGCAAGUGACAAGAUAUUUCAGUUAUGCACAUGGGUAACAAGUGAAAAUGUAUCAUAGGUAUAUGCUUGAUGCUAACCUGUGCAAAUAUAUUUCAGUUAUGUAUGGUGGUAACCAUCGAAAAGAUAUUUCAGCUACAUAUGGUGGUAUCCAGGGAGAAGAAAGAAGGUCCAGUUACAUAUGGUGGUAAAGAGUGAAAAGACAAUUCAAUUAUGUAUGGUGGUAACCAUCGAAAAGAUAUUUCAGCUACAUAUGGUGGUAUCCAGGGAGAAGAAAGAAGGUCCAGUUACAUAUGGUGGUAAAGAGUGAAAAGACAAUUCAAGUAUGUAUGGUGGUAAUGGUAACCAGUGGAAAGGUAUUUUAUUUAUCUAUGGUAGUAGCAAGUGACAAUGUAUUUCAGUUAUGUACACGGAGAACUAGUGAAAAGAUUGUUCAGCUAUAUAUGGUGGUAAGCAGAGAGAAGAUGCUGCAGUUAUGUAUGGUGGUAGCAAGUGACAAAUUGUGUACAUGGGUGAGCAAUGAAGAAGACAGUUCAGCUACAUAUGGUGGUAAGCAGAGAGAAGGCAUUGCAGUUAUAUAUGGUGGUAGCAAGUGACAACUUAUGUACAUUGGUAAGCAGUGAAAAAAAAAACCCAGUUCAGCUCCACAUGGUGGUAGGCAGAGAGAAGGCAUUGCAGUUAUAUAUGGUGGUAGCAAGUGACAAGUAAUGUAGAAAUGUUAUCAAAUGCAUUAUGAAAUCUGGACCUUAAAACCUUAUUCUUCUACUGAAAAGUUCUUUCUUUGUGUGCAGUGGGGGCUUCGCAUGAGGAUAGAUACUUUUUUUGUAGUUUGGCUAAAGAAGUGUAAAGCAAUACAUUGUUGUACACCUCUAAACUGUUCCGGAUUGAAUUUUGUGUUUGGCACCAGUCUGCAUUCCUACACCAGUGAGACGAUGUUUCAGUUAUACAUGGUGGUAGCAAGUGACAAGAUAUUUCAGUUAUGCACAUGGGUAACAAGUGAAAAUGUAUCAUAGGUAUAUGCUUGAUGCUAACCUGUGCAAAUAUAUUUCAGUUAUGUAUGGUGGUAACCAUCGAAAAGAUAUUUCAGCUACAUAUGGUGGUAUCCAGGGAGAAGAAAGAAGGUCCAGUUACAUAUGGUGGUAAAGAGUGAAAAGACAAUUCAAGUAUGUAUGGUGGUAAUGGUAACCAGUGGAAAGGUAUUUUAUUUAUCUAUGGUAGUAGCAAGUGACAAUGUAUUUCAGUUAUGUACACGGAGAACUAGUGAAAAGAUUGUUCAGCUAUAUAUGGUGGUAAGCAGAGAGAAGAUGCUGCAGUUAUGUAUGGUGGUAGCAAGUGACAAAUUGUGUACAUGGGUGAGCAAUGAAGAAGACAGUUCAGCUACAUAUGGUGGUAAGCAGAGAGAAGGCAUUGCAGUUAUAUAUGGUGGUAGCAAGUGACAACUUAUGUACAUUGGUAAGCAGUGAAAAAAAAAACCCAGUUCAGCUCCACAUGGUGGUAGGCAGAGAGAAGGCAUUGCAGUUAUAUAUGGUGGUAGCAAGUGACAAGUAAUGUAGAAAUGUUAUCAAAUGCAUUAUGAAAUCUGGACCUUAAAACCUUAUUCUUCUACUGAAAAGUUCUUUCUUUGUGUGCAGUGGGGGCUUCGCAUGAGGAUAGAUACUUUUUUUGUAGUUUGGCUAAAGAAGUGUAAAGCAAUACAUUGUUGUACACCUCUAAACUGUUCCGGAUUGAAUUUUGUGUUUGGCACCAGUCUGCAUUCCUACACCAGUGAGACGAUGUUUCAGUUAUACAUGGUGGUAGCAAGUGACAAGAUAUUUCAGUUAUGCACAUGGGUAACAAGUGAAAAUGUAUCAUAGGUAUAUGCUUGAUGCUAACCUGUGCAAAUAUAUUUCAGUUAUGUAUGGUGGUAACCAUCGAAAAGAUAUUUCAGCUACAUAUGGUGGUAUCCAGGGAGAAGAAAGAAGGUCCAGUUACAUAUGGUGGUAAAGAGUGAAAAGACAAUUCAAUUAUGUAUGGUGGUAACCAUCGAAAAGAUAUUUCAGCUACAUAUGGUGGUAUCCAGGGAGAAGAAAGAAGGUCCAGUUACAUAUGGUGGUAAAGAGUGAAAAGACAAUUCAAUUAUGUAUGGUGGUAACCAUCGAAAAGAUAUUUCAGCUACAUAUGGUGGUAUCCAGGGAGAAGAAAGAAGGUCCAGUUACAUAUGGUGGUAAAGAGUGAAAAGACAAUUCAAGUAUGUAUGGUGGUAAUGGUAACCAGUGGAAAGGUAUUUUAUUUAUCUAUGGUAGUAGCAAGUGACAAUGUAUUUCAGUUAUGUACACGGAGAACUAGU